rnacentral:rRNA from 1 species
AACAAAAACCGGUCCUUUCGUACUAGGCUUUUUCUUAUAAAGAUAGGAACCGAUCUGGCUCUCGCCGAUCUGAACUCAAGUCAUGGAUUAUUUUAAUUAGUCGAACAGACUAUCUUAGUAAAAUACUACUUCUACCAGACAUAAUAACUCAACAUCGAGGUCGCAAACAACACAAACCAUAAGGUCUGGUUUGUGUUAUAACGCUGUUAGCCCCAGGGUAACUUUUUCUUGCUAUCAAAAAACUUGGAUCACAAUACAAUCAAUAAGAUAUAUAUUUAUAAGUAGUUUUAUAUUUAGCCUGAGUUGCCCCAACUAACUAAUAAAAUUAGAAGCUCCUGGGGUCUUCCCUUCUUUUAUAUUUUUCAAGUGUUUUCACUUGAAGCACAAUUUCAAAACUUUCUUAAGGAACUAAUAAGCAAAAGAAUAACCGUUCAUCCUAGCAAUCAAUUAAAUUGCAAAUGAGUAUGCUACCUUCGCACGGUCAAAUUACCGCGGCCAUUUAUACGACAUCAUUGGGCAGGCUUCACUAAAAAUAAAAUUCUUUUAGCUAAGUCUUUGUUAAACAUUCUUUUGCUUUUCGAGUUUUCUAUAAGAAUCUACCACAAAUUAAAUAUAGGUAUUAUAUUUUAACUUUACUUAUUACGCCAUACUUAUUAAUGCAAAAAUUUACAUUACAGUGCUAAUCAAGAGUACAAUUUUUAUUAAGAUACAACUAUAGUGCUUAUUUUAUAACAAACUACUUAAAGGGGACUUGCAUCCCUAACACAACAUGAUCAUAUAAAUUUGUAACUCUAACACGCAAAGCUCACCCUUGCGUGUUUAAAGUAUAAUCUACUUUAAAACUAAAAGUUAAAAUCUAGCACAGCCAGCUAUAGAUGAACGAAAAGCAUAUAACACCUAAAAUAGUAUUUAACAUAAAUUUGAAACUUUAUAUUUUAACUAUUUUAGCUCUCAUCACUUCGGGUUUGUUAAUAACAACUUUUAAUCAGCGCAUCGUGUUGCCACAGGAAAUCCUUUAGAUUUUAAUAUGUUACACCUUUACAGUAAAACUAAGAUAACAAUAUUUAUUUACAC